GAUGAACGCUGGCGGCGUGCCUAACACAUGCAAGUCGAACGGAAAGGCCCUGCUCUUGUGGGGUUCUCGAGUGCCGAACGCGUGAGUAUCACGCGUGUAUCCCGCCCUUGUCUUUCGGAUAACAUCACGAAACUGCGGCUAAUAUCGGAUAGGAUCUACUGCAGCAUGGUGGGGGUUGGAAAGUUUCGGCGGUUGGGGAUGGACUCGCGGCUUAUCAGCUUGUUGGUGGGGUAGUGGCUUACCAAGGCUUUGACGGAUAGCCGGCCUGGGAGGGCGGCCGGCGUCAAGACGACUGCGGGAGGGAGCAGUCGGGAAUGGGCGGCAACGGGGGGAAGUAUUACAGAGUAAGGGCGAGCGUGAUACGAAGGCGCCCGGAGCGGAAUGACGGCCUUCGGGUUAAGAACCGCUGUCGCCUGAGACGAGGCGGGAGUGACGGUAAUGAAUCAAGAAGCACCGGCUAACUACGUG
rnacentral:rRNA from 1 species